UGGAGAGGUGGCAGAGUGGUUGAAUGCGGCGGUCUUGAAAACCGUUGAGCGGGAACACCGUUCCGAGGGUUCGAAUCCCUCCCUCUCCGCCAU
rnacentral:tRNA from 1 species